UGUGAAUAUGUGACCCCCUAAGGUUUGGGAAUGUGGUCGUCAAUAAACUCGUAUUUGCACCUACUACAUGACAGCUUAGUUAGUACCAAUUAUACACUUCCUUGUAAGUAAACCAGCUUCGUCGAAAUACUCCUUAUCUUUGCUUAUCAGGUGUGGGUGUGUAAGCUCCGAAACAUUUGGGAAUAUUGGCCCUAAACUCAUAUACCUACACCGACAACACGACGGUUUAGUUAGCUCCAUUCAUCCACUUCCUUAAUUGUGAACCAGCUUCGUCUUACUCUUAUCUUUGCUUAUCAGGUGUGGGUGUUUGAGCCCCGAAAUGUUUGGGAAUGUGGGCUUGAAACACAUAUUUAUAUCAACUACAUGACAGCUUAGUUAGUUCCAUUCAUCCACUUCCUUAAUUGUCAACCAGCUUCGUCGAAAUACCGAGUCCUUACCCUUACCAGCCAGCGUUCGAGGCAUACACUAAGUAAAAUGAUGUUCUCUCCGCUCCCUAAUUCUCCUCGUAAUAACACACCCUUCAAAGUUUGCGCCGUAUAUCUCGUUCACCGUGUUCAGCAAGUCGAUUUAGUUCACCUGUGCUCGUGUGAAUUAUGUAGCGUGUAUUUCCAGCGUGUAACGACCAGGCUAAUGAAUAUACGUACUGGUAGAAGGGCAAUUGCAGCCGGAUGAGUUAUGUACUUGCGCGAACAGUAAUUCUCCCACAUCUGGCUCAGUUUUCUUUGUGGUAGCAGCACGUUGCGAUCAAUUUCAACAUAUCUUGCUCUUCCUGUCAAGCUCGUGGCCUGGACUCAAGGGAACCGUAACGUAGCGUGACUGUGUGGUGGCUUAGAGUAACAUAGUAAGCAAAUAGGUAAAUAAAAGGUGCAACGGCAAGGCUGGAUAUAUAUAGUAGCGGACAGCAUCACAGUUAGGGCUUCAUAUGUGUGUGUGGGUUUGGAUGUGGGUGGUAGGUAGUUGAGUGGGUGGAUGUGGGUGGACGUGUGUGUGGGUGUGGGGUGAGGUGGAGGUGGGGGCUAAGGUUGGUAUUGUCAGAUGCUCCCACCCCUCACUCCAACUAAUCCCAAGGGCCAAAAAGAAGGUUAAUCGAGUUCUUUUAGGUUCACGGUACAGAAGAAGGCUCAGACUACCACCAGGGUCAUAAAAGUACCCCUGGAAAUGCCCUAAACUCCCACGAAAGACUAGUAAAUUACGUGUCCUUGGGCGCAGAAAUGUUUAAAAAUAUGGCCCUAAGGAGGCAUGGUGGGAGCCAAUGCUUGUAAAGGUUGCCGCAGAGCUGACAAAACCCGCUAUACGUUGCUGCUCCUGGUAGUGACACCGUCCAUUGUGAAUGUCACCGAGCAGAAUGAAUGCCACCUGCACCACCACCACCACCAUCACCACCUCCUCCUCGGGUCCUCGUGGUGGCAGGAGCUUCAGCGAGGUGGAGCCUCCCCGACACCACCAUAAUAGCAGUCAAUUUAAAUCAAUUUCACUCACGUUUAUAGAUUUGUUGAAUGCUUUCUUUGCUGGAGUAUUUAUUGUGAGAGAGAGAGAGAGAGAGAGAGAGAGAGAGAGAGAGAGAGAGAGAGAGAGAGAGAGAGAGUUUGUAUGUGUGUGUGUGUGUGUGUGUGUGUGUGUGUGUGUGUGUGUGUGUGCGUCGCGUUCUGUGGACGUAGUAGUAGUAGUAGUUGUAAGUAGCAAGUGGGCACCCGCUUCAUCCGACAGGACGAGAGCAGGGUGCUGGGUGUCCGGGGACUCCGGGCGGCUAUCACGCCAGUCCGCCCUCACGUCCUGCUGGGGUCCGCUGCCACACUGUACACCACGACCCGUUGUCUCAAACACACCAGCACCUCAGUCGCUCGCUUGUUUGAAAGGCCUCGAAAAAGUUAUGAUUUCCACUAACCGUUUUAUGAUGCCAGCGACAGUUUUACACGUCUUCUGCACCUUGAAGAGGACAACACCCGUUACAACUCUGUGGCCUUGGGUAAUAGUCAUAAUGAGAUCUCGUCACCUUUAAUUAAGAAUAUGACCCAAGAUGUCUUCAUUGUACAAACACCUCUCAUUUACGCGAAUGCAAAGUAAGAGCCUUUUUUUCAUGACGUAUAUAAAUAACACAAAUCUUAUUUUGCGCGUAUUUUUACAUUAGCGCGAACACGCUUAAAAAUUCUGAAGAGCGUGCAGGGGUUGCAAAACACAACUCGCACGCCCGGGUUCUUUCACGGAAUAUCCAAACAUAAAUUAACCUGUAAACAAAUUAUUUUCUUCAUGUCCUUGUAAUGUAACUCGCUUGCAAACUGGUCGACAUUUGAGAGAAAACUGGGUCGCAGUAACAAUAGUCUGAAGAAAUGAUGUAAUUGACUGCUCUUUCGGCCACCUCUUCGGAUUCUUUACAGGAGCAGCGAGUAGCGGGCUUUUUUUAUUGUUUCCUUUUUUUGUGUGCCUUUGUGCUGUCUCCUCUGCUGUAAAAAAAAAAGAGCCUCCUGGUGUUAGUUGCUCCCCCGUGUGCUCGCUGGUGGUUCUCUGAGCGGUGGUUAUCACACUCGCCAGCUUGUUGCCGUGGCGAGUGGGUUUGAUUCUCAGACGCUUCCGCCUCACGUCAACUCUUUCCUAAGGCCGAAAAGGAGAUUAAUCGGGUUCUCAUGAGUGUGUUUUCACUUCUCUGUACAUAAUCUUUGUUAACCUACCACCAGAAGCCUAAAAGUAACGAAGAAAAUGCUCAUCUAUAUGAAACCCUUGUCAAAUGUGUGUGCCAGGGCCCCGAAAUGUUUAUGAAUAUGGCCCUUAUAGACUCUCCUUCCUUCCACGCUUCACCAUCUUACGCAUGUGCCACCUAAUAGAUACAUAGGUAGACUGACAGCGAUAGAUAGAUAGAUAGACAAGAAGACUGGCUGACUGACUGGCUGACCUGAUAUUUGUAUAUGCGUAUAUACCACGCAGAUUGGAUAGGUUACUAUUAAGCAUAAUUUAUAGUUUAGGUAUGCAACGUAGCAAAAAGUAUUGGCAUUUAUGGUCCAUGAGUUCAACAAACACAUUAGAAUUUUAAGCGGAAAAUAGGAAUACGUUCUAGUGUUACCGUGAAACAGACACUUCCCUCCCCUCCACCGACACACACACACAC